rnacentral:rRNA from 1 species
GAUGAACGCUAGCGGCAGGCUUAACACAUGCAAGUCGAGGGGCAGCAUGAGACGGAGAUUCGUCGAAGUCUUGAUGGCGACCGGCGCAAGGGUGCGUAACGCGUGAGCAACUUGCCCGUUUCAGGGGGAUAACCGGUGGAAACGCCGACUAAUACCCCAUGGUAUGUUUUUAAGGCAUCUUUUAAACAUUAAAGAAUUUCGGAAACGGAUAGGCUCGCGUGACAUUAGCUAGAUGGCGGGGUAACGGCCCACCAUGGCGACGAUGUCUAGGGGUUCUGAGAGGAAGGUCCCCCACACUGGAACUGAGACACGGUCCAGACUCCUACGGGAGGCAGCAGUGAGGAAUAUUGGUCAAUGGUCGAGAGACUGAACCAGCCAUGCCGCGUGAAGGUGACGGCCCUAUGGGUCUUAAACUUCUUUUGCGAGGGAGCAAUAAGGCGCACGUGUGCGUCGAUGAGAGUACCUCGCGAAUAAGCAUCGGCUAACUCCGUGCCAGCAG